GACGAACGCUGGCGGCGUGCUUAACACAUGCAAGUCGAACGGAAAGGCCCUGCUUUUGUGGGGUGCUCGAGUGGCGAACGGGUGAGUAACACGUGAGUAACCUGCCCUUGACUUUGGGAUAACUUCAGGAAACUGGGGCUAAUACCGGAUAGGAGCUCCUGCUGCAUGGUGGGGGUUGGAAAGUUUCGGCGGUUGGGGAUGGACUCGCGGCUUAUCAGCUUGUUGGUGGGGUAGUGGCUUACCAAGGCUUUGACGGGUAGCCGGCAUGAGAGGUUGACCGGCGACAUGGGGACUGAGAGACGGACCAGACUGCUACGGGAGGCAGCAGUGGGGAAUAUUGCACAAUGGGCGGAAGCCUGAUGCAGCAACGCCGCGUGCGGGAUGACGGCCUUCGGGUUGUAAACCGAUUUCGCCUGUGACGAAGAGGGAGUGACGGUAAUGGGUAAAGAAGCACCGGCUAACUACGUG
rnacentral:rRNA from 1 species